UUGCAAAUAAUGUGGCAGUGGCUGUCAGC
rnacentral:piRNA from 1 species